GGCAUCAUAGCUCAGUUGGCUAGAGCGUUGGCUGUACUAAAGCCUUUCACUUGCCGGCGUGGGUUCAAAUCCCACUGAGGCCA
rnacentral:tRNA from 1 species